CAAAGGAAGGGCCGGCUAAUCUCGUGCCAGCAGCCGCGGUAAUACGAGAGGCCCGAGCGUUAGGCGGAAUCACUGGGCUUAAAGGGUGCGUAGGCGGAUCAGUAAGCAUUUUGUGAAAUCCCUCGGCUCAACCGAGGAAUUGCAGAGUGAACUGCUGGUCUUGAGGUAGGCAGAGGUCAUCGGAACGUACGGUGGAGCGGUGAAAUGCGUAGAUAUCGUACGGAACGCCGAAGGGGUAGCCAGGUGACUGGGCCUUACCUGACGCUGAGGCACGAAAGCGUGUGGAUCAAACAGGAUUAGA
rnacentral:rRNA from 1 species